rnacentral:rRNA from 1 species
AACAGGAUUAGAUACCCUGGUAGUCCACGCCGUAAACGAUGGAUGCUAGCCGUUGGCAGGCUUGCCUGUCAGUGGCGCAGCUAACGCAUUAAGCAUCCCGCCUGGGGAGUACGGUCGCAAGAUUAAAACUCAAAGGAAUUGACGGGGGCCCGCACAAGCGGUGGAGCAUGUGGUUCAAUUCGAAGCAACGCGCAGAACCUUACCAACCUUUGACAUGUCCCGUAUGGGUUUCAGAGAUGAGACUCUUCAGUUCGGCUGGCGGGAACACAGGUGCUGCAUGGCUGUCGUCAGCUCGUGCCGUGAGAUGUUGGGUUAAGUCCCGCAACGAGCGCAACCCUCGCCCUUAGUUGCCAUCAUUUAGUUGGGCACUCUAAGGGGACUGCCGGUGAUAAGCCGCGAGGAAGGUGGGGAUGACGUCAAGUCCUCAUGGCCCUUACAGGUUGGGCUACACACGUGCUACAAUGGCGGUGACAAUGGGAUGCAAUGGAGCAAUCCUGCGCAAAUCUCAAAAAGCCGUCUCAGUUCGGAUUGGGGUCUGCAACUCGACCCCAUGAAGUUGGAAUCGCUAGUAAUCGCAGAUCAGCACGCUGCGGUGAAUACGUUCCCGGGCCUUGUACACACCGCCCGUCACACCAUGGGAGUUGGAUUUGCCUUAAGACGGUGCGCUAACCGCAAGGAGGCAGCAGGCCACGGUAGGUUCAGCGACUGGGGUGAAGUCGUAACAAGGUAACC